CCUGUUCAUCUUUAUGUAUUAUCGAGGACGUGCUGAGUACUUUUUAACACACACACGGUUUCUUUCAUGAUGGUUGGAUGCAUUUUUUUUAAUACAAAUCCUAAGUGUUGCAUGAUGCUAUAUUGAGGUGUUAACAGCUUCAAGGUGCCAAAUAUUUCCUGUUUAAACACAAACAUAUUUGAAUGUAACUUUCAAAAAGUCAAUUAUGCUAACCAAAAAAACUAUUUUGAAGUUCAUUAACGACAUUUUAGCUCUCUGACACAUUUACCUUAACUUCAAGUCACAACUACACGUUUUUUAGUGCUGUCAAACGAUUAUUUUUCAAAAGCAGAUUAAUCACACUUUUUGAAUUUAGAUUAAUUAUGAUUAAUCACAGGUUAUUACUGGCAUACAUAUUUAAAUUAACUUUAAAAAGGUCUAAAUAUAUAAACACAAAUGAAACUUUGCUAGCAUGUCAUCCAGGAAAAUUUUUAAAGUCUGUACCUUGAAUGCACUACGUUUACCAUAUUUUCCGGACUAUAGUUUAUAAACCGCACCCACUAAAUUUUAGAAGAAACAAAUAUUUUAGCUGCACCGGACUAUAAACCGCAGAUAUAUAUAUUGUGAAAUUAGUUAUUUGCAGAGAAAUAUUUUGUAUAUGUUUGUUUACACAUCUUAAUUGUUUCCAAACUGUGUCUGUAACACGGCAGUAAAACGGUUGAUCAAGCAAAACAGAAGUCAUCAUCAUGGACCCACUAGCUGCAGAAGCUAGGUCUCCAAACAGAAUCAAUAAGUCCAUGGUGACAAUUUGGUGAAUUUGCUGACAAAUUUGUGAAACUGGAACAAUACAAACAGAAUACCAUUGUAAAUUAGUAAUACUAACACAGACAUUGGUUAACGUGUUAGCAUAUUAGCUAAUGCUGAUGACGCUAGCUUCAUUAUGUUACAAUAGCACAUACAAAUAUGCAUGAAAACAGACAUCACACAUUGGACAGUUUUGUAACUAAGAAUGGUUUUAGUUAUAUUGUAAAACUUAAACGUUGCUAGGAGUUAUGAAUGAAGAAUCCAUACGAGUCCAAAAGUCCAGUCAGGGUAUAUUUUGAAUGGGGGCUCACCAGUCGGAGCCUCCUCACUCUACUUUGCACUUACACGUAUGCAUUAACCUGAUCACUAACCGUACCAACACGCACAUUUCAGGUAACCAUCUGCGGCUAAGGUAAAGGAGCAUGUGAGUACAGUAAAAAAAUAAUUAUACCGUAUUUUUCGGAGUAUAAAUCGCUCCGGAGUAUAAGUCGCACCAGCCGAAAAUGCAUAAUAAAGAAGGAAAAAAAACAUAUAUAAGUCGCACUGGAGUAUAAGUCAUAUUUUUUGAGGAAUUUAUUUGAUAAAACCCAACACUAAGAAUAGACAUUUGAAAGGCAAUUUAAAAUAAAUAAAGAAUAGAGAACAACAGGCUGAAUAAGUGUACGUUAUAUGACGCAUAAAUAACCAACUGAGAACGUGCCUGGUAUGUUAACGUAACAUAUUAUGGUAAGAGUCAUUCAAAUAACUAUAACAUAUAGAACAUGCUAUACGUUUACCAAACAAUCUGUCACUCCUAAUCGCUACGUGAAUGAGCUAAAUAAUAUUAUUUGAUAUUUUACGGUAAUGUGUUAAUCAUUUCACACAUAAGUCGCUCCUGAGUAUAAUUCGCACCCCCGGCCAAACUAUGAAAAAAACUGCGAUUUAUAGUCCGAAAAAUACGGUAAUCUGCGUAAAUACAUGAUUGAUACGAUCACUUUUUGUGAUUUUUGCCAACCCUACUUUUUAUUCUGUAUUUACAGUGGAACAUACACGAUUGUACUAAGCAAUCCUGUUUUAAGUUUAAUUUUCUGUUCUAUGGUUAUCAUCACACUUAUCCUUUUGGCCGUCACUGGCGCACAACAUAAGGAUGGCGUUAAUCCUUUAGAGCAGGCCUAUUCAACUGGUGGCCCGCCGGCCAAAUCCAGCCCCCCCGAGUUCCGUUCAAAUCUAACAUUUUUCUGACAAAUCCAACAUUUUUGCAGCAAAUUCCUUAAAACCCAGGGCUAUUAUUCUGAAAUGUGUAAUUCCGACCAAACAAAUGUCCACUGCAGACGAUGCUGGUUCUCAAAAGAAGAAGAAUAGUAAAGGGAGAAUUGUUCGAGGGCAAAUGUGGCCCCUCGAACAAUUGAGUUCAAUUUCCCUGAGCUGAGAUGACUCGGGUGAACGGCAACGUUUUGUUUGUAUUAUGAGAUAUACUGCCUUUGGGGUGUUCCACUUUGGAGGUAUUUACACGUUUGGUACAAUUUAUGUGCCACUUUUACAUUUUUCCAUGCAUUACAUAAAGCACAACAUUUCAAAUAUCUUUAUUCCUAUUGUUUGGUUCUUGUGACUUUGUUCCGUUACAGUAAUAGUACUGAUUUGAAAACACACUAUGUACAGUAUCAAAACUUCAGCCACUUUAAUGAGGACGCAGAGCGCAUGAGAAAGUGGAACGGACGACAUACUGUAGCUCUCUCGAACCCACACCAUCGGUUAUUGACGAGUAAAUUGCGCAACACAGCCGCAGCAACAGUGUUGUAAUAGUGGCGAGGCGCAAACUGCUCAGUCAGCAUUAAUGAGUUCAUCGUAAACAACGGUACAACAAGCGUAACGAUAUUACUGACCACUUAUGAUACGUUUGCUGCCAUCAUGUGGCGGUAACGAGUACAUCAGGAGGUUGCUUUUGUUGACACGCUGAAACUACAGCAGGAGAGAAAGCAUUUACGGUCAUUCGGACAUCAAGGAACGAUGUUGGUGAAGACAAGUGGUAAUCGAUUGUUAGAUCAGUAAAAAUGUUGAUUGUGUGGCUCUGAUAGUGCAUCACUUCUUGCAACCAGCAGAGGUGCUGUUGAGUACGUCUCAACACGUUUUCCACACAAACCAGUCCCUCCAGGAUUUUGCGAUGUUGCGAUGGCGCAAAUUCAACGAACUUCCCCGCUUAUUUUGAACAAUCGUCGCAAUUUUCCCCAACCAGAUUUGUCUUUGAGUGGCGCUCAAGCGCGCGCAUCAGCUUUCUUGUAAAACUCUGUUUCUUGUGUAGACGAAGCAGGAACAACAAUGCGUUGCUCAAACGGCACACUUGUCAUUUUCAAGCGUAGCUGAGACCUGCUUCCUGUUCCUGCGAUAAGCCCUCCAGGGUAAGACAAUUAAGAACAUAUUUUCAUUUGCAAUUUUACCAUGAAUUGAUUAACGUGGACCCCGACUUAAACAAGUUGAAAAAUGUAUUGGGGUGUUACCAUUUAGUGGUCAAUUGUACGGAAUAUGUACUGUACUGUGCAAUCUACUAAUAAAAAUCUCAAUCAAUCAAACCUAGCAAAGAGGCAACAUUUACAUGUUUGAGAUGUUGAGGUGUGAUGAUAAUAUCUCACCGUUUCUCAUUUACAAACAAAAAGUACCUCUAUAGAUUGAUCUCAACCGGUCACAAAUGCUGUUGGAACAUAAAUUAAUGUUUUAGACUUAGACUCAGACAAACUUUAUUAAGUUGCGAAAUUGUGUUAGAUGUAAAUAUAAACGGAAUACAAUGAUUUGCAAAUCCUUUUCAACCCAUAUUCAAUUGAAUGCACUACAAAGACAAGAUAUUUGAUGUUCAAACUCAUAAACUGAUUCUCUGAACCCUUUGAUGAUAUUACGGACCGUAGAUGGUGAAAUCCCUAAAUUCCUUGCAAUAGCUAGUUGAGAAAGGUUUUUCUUAAACUGUUCAACAAUUUGCUCACAUAUUUGUUGACAAAGUGGUGACCCUCGCCCCAUUCUUGUUUGUGAAUGACUGAGCAUUUCAUGGAAUCUACUUUUAUACCCAAUCAUGGCACCCACCUGUUCCCAAUUUGCCUGUUCACCUGUGGGAUGUUCCAAAUAAGUGUUUGAUGAGCAUUCCUCAACUUUAUCAGUAUUUAUUGCCACCUUUCCCAACUUCUUUGUCACGUGUUGCUGGCAUCAAAUUCUAAAGUUAAUGAUUAUUUGCAAAAAAAAAAAAUGUUUAUCAGUUUGAACAUCAAAUAUGUUGUCUUUGUAGCAUAUUCAACUGAAUAUGGGUUGAAAAUGAUUUGCAAAUCAUUGUAUUCCGUUUAUAUUUACAUCUAACACAAUUUCCCAACUCAUAUGGAAACGGGGUUUGUACAAUAUAUAACAAAUCCCAAUUACCAUGUACAAUAUUACAGUACAGUAUACAGCGGGCAGCACGGUGGCAGAGGGGUUAGUGUGUCUGCCUCACAAUACGAAGGUCCUGGGUUCGAUCCUUCGCUCAGUAUCUUUCUGUGUGGAGUUUGCAUGUUCUCCCCGUGACUGCGUGGGUUCCCUCCGGGUACUCCGGCUUCCUCCCACCUCCAAAGACAUGCACCUGGGGAUAGGUUGAUUGGCAACACUAAAUUGGCCCUAGUGUGUGAAUGUUGUCUGUCUAUCUGUGUUGGCCCUGCGAUGAGGUGGCCACUUGUCCAGGGUGUACCCCGCCUUCCGCCCGAAUGCAGCUGAGAUAGGCUCCAGCACCCCCCGAAAAGGGAUACGCGGUAGAAAAUGGAUGGAUGGAUAUGUAACAGCUGCAGCAUAAAAUAGAGAGUAGAUCCAGCAGAAAAUAUGCAUUAUAAACAAAGAGAGGUAGCUAACAUAAAAGCGGUCAGGUAAUUGACAGAUAUCAUCUAUUGGGUGGGCAGGAUUGUCCUUGAUAGCGAGCAGUUUGUCCAGUGUCCUCCUGUCCCUCACUGACACAAACGCCUCCAACUGCGUGCCAAUAGUUUGGCCGGCUUUCCAGAUCAGUUUGUCAAUCCGGGUUAAGUCCCUUUUGCUGGUGCUGCUCCCCCAACAAACCACUGCAAAGUACAGGGCACUGACAGACUUUUAGAUGGACAAACCCUUUUCAAGGUUAAUACAAAGACAGAGAAUGUCUGCAACUUGUGGACGACAGAGCAGGCAAAGGACAAAAAGGAAGACUUUUGGCAGUGUUUCUUUCUGUAAUUAUUAUUAUUAUUAUUAUUAUUAUCAGUCAUAAUUGAUUAAAACUGUAAAGUAAGUCGACAAUAUGUGCUUUUACUGCCAUCUUGUGUCUAGUGUGCAGUAUAAAACGAGUAAAACAUCAAUACAGAAAUAGUUUUUCGAUGUUUGUUUCAAUUCUGUGCUUUUUCAGGUUCAAAUUUCAGUCGAUUCGACGUUAUUAGAAAAAUAAUCCUCAGAAUAUUGCAUCUUUUGCCGCUGCUUUCAGAAAAAGCCGCUGCGAAUUAGUGCAUUUUAGGCCGCGACAAUCACCAAAAAAGCCAGCGAAAUCCUGGCGGGGACUGAUAAAGAACACACCGCCAAUUAAAAAAAAAACUCCCCCUGUCAAUACAACACUGGCAUGGAAAAAGGAGUUCAGGACUUUCAGGGAGAGUGCUGCAAUAUGCAACAAAUAUGGAAGUAUAUGACGAGAAGUUGGUCUAACAAGCACAUGAGCUGUUGCAGAAAUGUGAACUCAUCAUACAACCGUUUUCUUUUUUUUCCUUUUUUUUUUUACAUAGGUGACUCACACCUGCAUGCCUAAUUGUUGUUUUUGCUCUUUUGGAAGUGAUUGUGCUAUCCAACAUUCAAAUGAUUAAUGAUGUAAUAAUAACAGUACUAUUAUAAGAAGAAAAAAAGUGGUCUAGUUGUGUUGCAUGCAAAAAAAAAAAAAAAAGCCUUUGUGAGCAAUCAGUGAAGGUUUUAUUAGGGUUGUUACGCCACAAUGCCUUAAUCGCGUUUACAUUGUCGACCUCAAGGAAGCACUCCAAGCCCUCACACUUGUACAUAAUCCAUUCUUUAUUCUCACUUUCUGCUUCUUCAAUUUCACGCACUUUAUCAGUAAAAUAGUCAAACUAAUAACCGGGAAAUUAGAAUGAAUCAUGUGUGCUGUGACUCAGGUGUGUAUAUUCUCACAUUCAGUCAGAAACAUCAAGAAACACGUUUGAAGUCUUUUUGACGACAAUAAUUCAUCAUUGUUUCUUUUUUGGUUUUGAUGGAAUGUAACUUGACUUGUGCCACACGGCUGUUCUGAUGUAUAUUAGGCAUAUCUGGAAUUAAUAAAACUCUACUUUCUUCUC